CUACGGGAGGCUCCAGUGGGGAAUUUUGGACAAUGGGCGAAAGCCUGAUCCAGCAAUGCCGCGUGCAGGACGAAGGCCUUCGGGUUGUAAACUGCUUUUGUACGGAACGAAACGGUCUUCUCUAAUAAAGGGGGCUAAUGACGGUACCGUAAGAAUAAGCACCGGCUAACUACGUGCCAGCAGCCGCGGUAAUACGUAGGGUGCAAGCGUUAAUCGGAAUUACUGGGCGUAAAGCGUGCGCAGGCGGUUAUAUAAGACAGAUGUGAAAUCCCCGGGCUCAACCUGGGACCUGCAUUUGUGACUGUAUAGCUAGAGUACGGUAGAGGGGGAUGGAAUUCCGCGUGUAGCAGUGAUAUGCGUAGAUAUGCGGAGGAACACCGAUGGCGAAGGCAAUCCCCUGGACCUGUACUGACGCUCAUGCACGAAAGCGUGGGGAGCAAACAGGAUUAGAUACCCCUGUAGUC
rnacentral:rRNA from 1 species